rnacentral:lncRNA from 1 species
CAGACCUGCAACAACGGCACUCCAAUAUCAUGUCUACAACUAUUUCACUUGGGUUCAGGUUUUCAAGAGCUUGUUAUUUUGAGAAGAGCAGAUGUGACGCCACUUAGAUUGUGCUAACUGUUCCUUCGCUCACAUUUGAUGUCAUGGAUGCAGACCCGAGGUCAACAUGGUGUUUUUAAUUCUGAUACUUGAAAAUCAUACCCGCUUCCUCUCAUAAGAUUCUCUCCCCUGUUCCCUUUGCAUUUUAACAAAGGAGUUCACUGAAAAUGACGAGGAGGCAGAUGUGGGAAGGUGGAAGAAGAAUUCAAAGGCUGAAAGACAUCGAAAAAAGAAACAGGUAGGAGGUGAAGGGAAGCUCUGCUUGUGCAUGGUGUCAGUGACCUGCGGCCUGCCUGCACCCCUUGGUGGACACCGACUCUGUCAGGAACAGCACCCUUCCUGUGGGCACAAACUCCCGGCUGCUCUGGGGACUGCAGAUGGACACCGGUGUGGGAGCCCUGGUGUGCGGGCUGGUGGGCGAUCCUCACGAUAGGGCUGUGGUUUGUACUUGGAGCGUUUUUCCUUUAAGUUUCUUCCGGGCUCCUGUGAGCAGUCAACCAAGAAUGGAUGAAGCGUGUUUCAGCGUUGUCACUCGGGCCAUAACCAAGGACUGGCAGUAGAUGGCAGUGCAGGAUUGCAGAUCCCAGGGAACCCCUCUUUCUUCACCCCAAGGCCAAAUUCCACUUCAGUCUGAGCCAGCAGCCAGCCCCUGGCCCCGGGCUGCUCCGUCCCUCCCCCGUCUCCGCAGGAGUUCCUCUUAAGCCAGGACGAGACAAACCUUUCCAAGCCACCAACAGCUGGCCCCGGGGAAAUGGUGUCUGAAAAAGCCCAUGGCAGCUCCCAGCAGGAGCCGGGACAGGAAGAGUCCCAGACUCGGCUCGUCAGUGUGCCGGCCCGGCGGGGCCUCGGAGUGUCACUCAGUUCCGGCCAGCUGAUGAAGUCUGCACAUCUGGAUCCAGAUGUUUGAUUCCUGCCCGGACUUUGUCCUUCUCCCCUGGGUCUGGGCUGCCCCUCGGGGCUGCCAUAGCACGCCUCCAGGUGUUGCCAAAGCCAGGCAGCGUUGAGAGCCUGAGACCAGCACCCGGACCAGGUGGCCUUCCACACUGCACAAACGCUUAGCCAGGGUGCCACCUCCCCAGUGAACAGCAGCACUAACACACACAGUGAAAGCUGCAGCCUCCCGUCUACUGAUCGGACAUAUGUCCAGGCAUGACAUUCUGAAUGAAGAAAUCAUUUCAUGGAACAUGCCCAAGGCCCAAGUCAAGUAAACAUCCAGUGUAAGACAUACACGGUUCCCCAUGAUUUCAUCUUGUACCCUCUUAGGGGAGGGACUAUCCAAAGUUAAGUUGUUUCUCAUGAACAUAAAUUUCUUCAUUACUAACAGCUGUUUUCCACUCACUCUUGGUAGGUUCUCUGAUUAAAGUAUCAUUUCAGAGCCAGUUUCUCAGUAUUGGCUCAAAAGAAAGCUCAGAAACUAGUGAAAUGUGAUGUUAAUGAAGUAGAUGAGUUAUUUGGGGGAAGUUUUUAG